rnacentral:rRNA from 1 species
AUAUGGGGGGACCAUCCUCCAAGGCUAAAUACUCCUGACUGACCGAUAGUGAACCAGUACCGUGAGGGAAAGGCGAAAAGAACCCCGGCGAGGGGAGUGAAAAAGAACCUGAAACCGUGUACGUACAAGCAGUGGGAGCCUCUUUAUGGGGUGACUGCGUACCUUUUGUAUAAUGGGUCAGCGACUUAUAUUCUGUAGCAAGGUUAACCGAAUAGGGGAGCCGAAGGGAAACCGAGUCUUAACUGGGCGUUAAGUUGCAGGGUAUAGACCCGAAACCCGGUGAUCUAGCCAUGGGCAGGUUGAAGGUUGGGUAACACUAACUGGAGGACCGAACCGACUAAUGUUGAAAAAUUAGCGGAUGACUUGUGGCUGGGGGUGAAAGGCCAAUCAAACCGGGAGAUAGCUGGUUCUCCCCGAAAGCUAUUUAGGUAGCGCCUCGUGAAUUCAUCUCCGGGGGUAGAGCACUGUUUCGGCAAGGGGGUCAUCCCGACUUACCAACCCGAUGCAAACUGCGAAUACCGGAGAAUGUUAUCACGGGAGACACACGGCGGGUGCUAACGUCCGUCGUGAAGAGGGAAACAACCCAGACCGCCAGCUAAGGUCCCAAAGUCAUGGUUAAGUGGGAAACGAUGUGGGAAGGCCCAGACAGCCAGGAUGUUGGCUUAGAAGCAGCCAUCAUUUAAAGAAAGCGUAAUAGCUCACUGGUCGAGUCGGCCUGCGCGGAAGAUGUAACGGGGCUAAACCAUGCACCGAAGCUGCGGCAGCGACACUAUGUGUUGUUGGGUAGGGGAGCGUUCUGUAA